rnacentral:precursor_RNA from 15 species
UCGACCAAAGUGACAUCCAAUGUCCCCUCUAGGUCUGAUAUUCUAUCUUUCUGUGAUAUAAAACUUGAACCUUGGUCUAUCAGACCUAGAUGUGUCUUUUGGCUAUCAACUGUCAUCAG